rnacentral:rRNA from 1 species
UACGAGGGGGCAAGCGUUGUUCGGAAUUACUGGGCGUAAAGGGUUCGUAGGCGGUGCGGUAAGUUGGGAGUGAAAUCUCUGGGCUUAACCCAGAGGCUGCUUUCAAAACUGCCGUGCUCGAGUGCGAGAGAGGUCAGUGGAAUUGCAGGUGUAGCGGUGAAAUGCGUAGAUAUCUGCAGGAACACCCGUGGCGAAGGCGGCUGACUGGAUCGCAACUGACGCUGAGGAACGAAAGCUAGGGGAGCAAACAGG